CUCUCUCUCUCUCUCUCUCUCUAUAUAUAUAUAUAUAUAUAAACUCCAUGGAAUAGAAGUUUAAUUUAAGAAUAUAUAUUUGUUAAAUUAAUGAAUACAUCUUUUAGGUGUUGCGUGAUAGAGGACAGGGAAUAGGCAUUCUUGUUUCCAAAUUUCCAAAGGAGACCAGUGCCUGCUAUUCUCUCCGUGAGCCCGCUGAGGUUAUGAACUUCUUACAUUGCCUGGUGGAGUGGAAGCGUCGCUCCCUCAAGGAACAUGAGAGAGUGUAAAUAAGACAGAAUGUAACCCAUCAUCCCCAUGACAAGUCUUGGGUUGGGACUCGAUGGGAUGAGUAGUUGUUUUCUUGCUCGAGGAAAAUUAGUCAUUAUAAAUAGUGACGUUUUGCUUUUCUCCUAGUAGAUUUUUCAAUCUUUGCCACCUUUCCCUACUUGGGCCAGCUUGAAAGCAUAUCAAAUUGUCUUCCUUGCUGGUCUUGUAAUCAAUUUUAUGUCCAAUGAAAGAAAAAUAGCAAUUGUUUUUCCCCUUGCAAGAAA